rfam:Triticum aestivum genome assembly, contig: Triticum_aestivum_CS42_TGACv1_scaffold_212272_3AS
CAUGUAUUACCUCCGUCCCAAAUUAGUUGUCUUAGAUUUGUCUAGAUACGGAUGUAUCCAACACUAAAACGUGUCUAGAUACAGCCGCAUCUAGACAAAUCUGAGUCAACUAAUUCGGGACGGAGGGAGUAUAUC